rnacentral:rRNA from 2 species
UUUCGAAAGGAACGCUAAUACCGCAUACGUCCUACGGGAGAAAGUGGGGGAUCUUCGGACCUCACGCUAUCAGAUGAGCCUAGGUCGGAUUAGCUAGUUGGUGAGGUAAAGGCUCACCAAGGCGACGAUCCGUAACUGGUCUGAGAGGAUGAUCAGUCACACUGGAACUGAGACACGGUCCACACUCCUACGGGAGGCAGCAGUGGGGAAUAUUGGACAAUGGGCGAAAGCCUGAUCCAGCCAUGCCGCGUGUGUGAAGAAGGUCUUCGGAUUGUAAAGCACUUUAAGUUGGGAGGAAGGGCAGUAAGUUAAUACCUUGCUGUU